CAGCAGCCGCGGUAAUACCGGCGGCCCGAGUGGCGGUCACUAUUAUUGGGCUUAAAGCGUCCGUAGCCGGGUUGGGAAGUCCUCCGGGAAAUCUGGCCGCUUAAAGGUCAGAAUGCCGGAGGAUACUCCCAGCCUAGGGAGCGGGAGAGGCCGAGGGUAUUCCCGGAGUAGGGGGGAAAUCCUAUAAUCCCGGGAGGACCACCUGUGGCGAAGGCGCUCGGCUGGAACGCGUCCGACGGUGAGGGACGAAGGCCAGGGGAGCAAACCGGAUUAGAUACCCGGGUAGUCCUGGCUGUAAACGAUGCGGACUUUGUGUCGGACAAGCUAUGAGCUUGACCGGUGCCGGAGGGAAACCGUUAAGUCCGCCGCCUGGGGAGUACGGCCGCAAGGUUGAAACUUAAAGGAAUUGGCGGG
rnacentral:rRNA from 1 species